UAAGACAGAGGGUGCAAACGUUGUUCGGAAUUACUGGGCGUAAAGCGAGUGUAGGCGGUCUGAAAAGUCGGGUGUGAAAGCCCCGGGCUCAACCCGGGAAGUGCACUCGAAACUGCCAGGCUAGAGUAUCGGAGAGGUUGGUGGAAUUCUCGGUGUAGAGGUGAAAUUCGUAGAUAUCGAGAGGAACACCGGCGGCGAAGGCGGCCAACUGGACGAAUACUGACGCUGAGACUCGAAAGCGUGGGGAGCAAACAGGAUUAGAUACCCUGGUAGUCCACGCCGUAAACGAUGGGUGCUAGGUGUCGCGGGCUUUGACUCCCGCGGUGCCGUAGCUAACGCAUUAAGCACCCCGCCUGGGAAGUACGGCCGCAAGGCUA
rnacentral:rRNA from 1 species